rnacentral:rRNA from 1 species
UACGGAGGGUGCAAGCGUUAUCCGGAUUCACUGGGUUUAAAGGGUGCGUAGGCGGGUAUAUAAGUCAGUGGUGAAAGCUCCGGGCUUAACCUGGAAACUGCCAUUGAUACUGUAUAUCUUGAAUGUCGUUGAGGUUAGCGGAAUGUUGCAUGUAGCGGUGAAAUGCUUAGAUAUGUUACAGAACACCAAUUGUGAAGACAGCUAACUAAGCGAUGAUUGACGCUGAGGCACGAAAGCGUGGGGAGCAAACAGG